rnacentral:rRNA from 1 species
UACAGAGGGGGCAAGCGUUGUUCGGAAUUACUGGGCGUAAAGGGCUCGUAGGCGGCCAACUAAGUCGGAUGUGAAAUCCCCAGGCUCAACUUGGGAACUGCAUCCGAUACUGGAUGGCUUGAAUCCGGGAGAGGGAUGCAGAAUUCCAGGUGUAGCGGUGAAAUGCGCAGAUAUCAGGAAGAACACCCGUGGCGAAGGCGGCUCUCUGGGACGGUACUGACGCUGAGACGCGAAAGCGUGGGGAGCGAACAGG